rnacentral:lncRNA from 1 species
GAUCCUGUGUGGGGGUUUGUGAGUCUCGUGCUUUGGGUUAGUGGUUUGGAUACUGACUUGGUGGAUCUUCUUAGGUCCGGUCGACUUGUGCGUACCCAGUGUUCCGACGCGACAGUGACAGGUGGGUGCUUCGAGCUGGUAGUCGGUGAGAGCGUUUCACCUCCUUCUCCUGUUUUUCUAUUCCCGUAUUUUAGUCUCUACAUGUCAUUGUUUGCUUAUCUUUCGUAUAUCGUACCUCUUUGAUUGCAUUUGGUUAGUAGUUGAUAGACAUGUAGAGCAGGUUGCAUUUGUAUUUCAGUAUCUCUGUGGACCUUGGGUCCAGGCAACACAUCGACUCUCUUGUCGUGUGUUUCGAUCUGGUUGAUCGAGGUUCGGCGUUGUACGCCCUAGCUUCUAUUUCAGUUUGGCAUUGUACGCCCUCGUUGUUGGCUUCGGCCUAGGCACCGGCUUUAGCCGGGUUUGUUUUUGUUUGAGCAUACCAGCAUGACUUAGUCACGGCACUUGGGGGUAUUCAUGACACCGGAUCGGUUUGGCCACCGAUCGGAGGUGUACUUAUCCGGAUAGGUCGUCCUGCGGGGCGGAUGGAUCAGGUCGGUGCAGUUAGUGACAGGCAGCGCUUGAGGUCUGCGGACCGAUACAGCAGGCACAGAUUGGGUACAGUUUCUGGUUCAGUACAUUGAGGCAUUCUUUGCAUUGUUUUCUAUACAGUAGCAGGUUUAUUUAUUGCUUCCUAUUUAUCUGUUGUAGCUACUGUAGUUCUAUUUCAUAUCAGCUUACAGAUAUAUACUUGUUUAUCUAUCUCCUUUGGUUUCCGGUGAUUACGACUUGCCUUCGUGGCUCUGUCGUACCCACUGAGAAAACCAUGGUUGCGGUUUCUCACCCCCCAUUUCCCCCCCAGGUGACAUAGACGAGGAGUUGGAUUUUGGGCUCGACGAGAGGACGAUCUAGCUAGUCUGGUAUAGCGAUCGCCACCCUGGUUGUAUUUCUUUCCCGCCUUUAGUAGUCAUUUAAAUAAAUGGUUCAGUUAGAUGUUUGAAUGUUGUGAUUUCCGUUAUGCAUGAUUAGAUGAUCUUAUGAUUGUUUGAAUGAGUUGGUUUUCCUCGUAUGCAUGAGAUUAUGGAUGUUUUAUUAUACAUGAGAUUGGAGUUUUCAGAUAUGUGGUUUUGGAUCCUUGGUUUCAGAUUGGAUUUAUACGCUUUGUGGAUUUCUACCCCUCGAGGUAGCUGGUUUUCAAAAUAGAGUUUCCGUGUGGGAAAUAGUUUUAAAAAGGUUUUCGAAUGGUUUUCAUGAAUGAAUGAAUUAGAGUUUAAAAACAAAAGCUUCCGUGUGGGGAGCACUUUUAAAUAGGAUGAUUGUUGUACUGUGCAUUACAUCAUCCAACGCCUAAGGAGUGCUUAGAGGCAUGCAUCAUCUCUAAGGAUUGUUAGCUGUAUGGAAAUACAUAUCAUGCUUUGGUUGUUGAUUGGUAAAUGUAGGUUGUGGUUGAGAUCCUGUUGUAUCCGUUGGUACGCCGUGCAAAUACAAAGGAGACUCU